GCAGGAGGCCUCGGCAGGAAGACUCGGGGUGGUCUCAGGCGCGACGCGGAGCUGGCCGGAGCGCACGGACAUCUGCGGCGGCCGCCGCCCUCCCUGCUCCCGCUGCUACCCUCCCCGCUCCCCAACGCCGCCUCGCUCUGCCCUUGCUGCGGUUGCUGCAGGAGCUUCUUCACUCGAUGCUCGCCGGCACAGCUCGUGGAUGCCCGAUGCUUGCUUCUCGUCAGCUCCCAUUGCGGUGUCGGAGGGCAGCUCUUCUCGACAGGCGGGGGGUGCAGCGUGACCCACCGUGGGAUGGCGUCAUGGAGCUUGUAGAUGGAGGCGGAGCAGCCGAGCCAUCUUCUGCACGUCUUGGAUCUGUCAUCUGCCGACAACGGCACCGGCUAUGAAGGGGCGGCGCGCUGGUUGUGCUGGUGCUGCGCCGCAUAGCUGUUCCGGCAGGAGAAGAGGCUCCUGAGACAUGGCAGGAGCUGGGGACGCCGAUUCGGAGGCGGGCGGCAACCUCGGGGUCGCCAGUGACGUUGAGGAAGGCCGGGGCCUGGCUUCCUGGGUGGAUACAUGGCAUCUGCGGCUCCUGGGCAAAAAGAAGAAUAGAGGUGAGGGAGAGAAAAAGGGAGAAAGGAGGGGAGGUGCGGCGUCCUAGGCGGGAGCUCGCCGGAGCGGGGCGACGGUGGGCGGGCACGGGAGACGGAGGGAUUUAGAGUCGGCCGGUCGAGCAACACCAAGCAGGCCAUGGGUGGCGUACACUUUUAGUAGAAAAUGGACCACAACGAUGAACCAACUACUAUUCAGGAUUUUGAUAACCGGCCUUAACAAAAAACAUUCUGAAUUGAGUGUAUUGGAUUCAGAUAAACUGAUAGAUGAUGAUGAAUUUCCAUCACCAACUAUUUCAACAUCAUCUCUAGUCUUCAGAACCAGAUAGACACAUGAACCUCUGCCACCACUGUUGAGCAGUACCUCAGGUGAACUAUCAGCACUACCUGUCAUCCAACAAUAACAAGCUCAAGUGUUGUAUAUGUAUCCUCUUAAUGUACUCACAACCUCUGGCUCACAACAGUGCACUUGCACACACAUAAGCAACAGAUUCAGCUUCUUCUUCCUCACGACAGUGGUGGUGGUGGAGCUUUUAGCACCGGCCGAUCUGUUCGGUUCCACCAUUGCCAUCCUCUGAAUCAAGUGAUCUGUUGGAUUUCUAUAGCAAAUUCUAUUAGUUUUUACGUCUGCCAGUUGUCUGAGAGCAACAAUUGCGAGAGAGAUAUCAGGGAAAAGGGGCGCCAGCUACCAGCUCACCACAUUGAGUGGCCAACGAGGACGGAAAGACACACACGAUUGUCGGCUCCGUCGUGAUGUGAUCCCUCGGUUAUAUGGAUGAAGCUGUUGGCGGCUUUGAUUUACAGCGCCCCAGUCGGCUGGGAUACAGGGAUGAGAAGUCCAACAUGUGUCUUUGCCAAUGGCAAUCACGGGGGAAGAAUGUUAGGGACGAGAUGAAUUCAAACACACAACGGUCAUAGCCAGCAGGAGGUUGCGUUUGGACGUGGGUGGGCUUGGUUCCUACAAGAGGUGGAAGACGGCCGUGACUAGGCAGCUGGGUUUAACAUCGCAACUCGAUGCCGACAUGGACGGCGGGCUGCUCCUCUUCUUUUACCGUGCUGGGUCUUACCUCCCGCCCCCUCUCCUCAACUAAGCUGUGGAAGAACCGCAUCCAAUUUGAUAGCAUGCAUUCAGUUGUGAAGUGUGCAGUGCUAUGGAGGAAAUUGUCCUGCCCCAUGCUGAUCAGCGCGCCAUAACAUGUAACUGAUUCCGUCCUCCUCACCUUUGAGCCUCUUAAUCACUACUGUUGGCUGUGCAUUGUUCCGAUUUAUCAGCUAUGAUUUGGUCUUGGUGCUUCUUAACCACUA